rnacentral:rRNA from 1 species
CUAUGCGCCUUGCCAGCCCGCUCAGGUGUGCCAGCAGCCGCGGUAAUACGGAGGAUGCGAGCGUUAUCCGGAUUUAUGGGUUUAAAGGGUGCGUAGGCGGUCCGUUAAGUCAGCGGUAAAAUUGCGGGGCUCAACCCCGUCGAGCCGUUGAAACUGUCAGACUUGAGUUGGCGAGAAGUACGCGGAAUGCGCGGUGUAGCGGUGAAAUGCAUAGAUAUCGCGCAGAACUCCGAUUGCGAAGGCAGCGUACCGGCGCCACACUGACGCUGAGGCACGAAAGCGUGGGGAUCGAACAGG